rnacentral:rRNA from 1 species
GCGUGUGUGAAGAAGGCCUGCGGGUUGUAAAGCACUUUCAGUAGGGAGGAAAUGGCAGAAGGUUAAUAACCUUUUGUCUUGACGUUACCUACAGAAGAAGCACCGGCUAACUCUGUGCCAGCAGCCGCGGUAAUACAGAGGGUGCAAGCGUUAAUCGGAAUUACUGGGCGUAAAGCGCGCGUAGGCGGUUUGGUCAGUCGGAUGUGAAAGCCCCGGGCUUAACCUGGGAAUUGCAUUCGAUACUGCCAGACUAGAGUGUAGUAGAGGGAAGCGGAAUUCCGGGUGUAGCGGUGAAAUGCGU